AUUGAACGCUGGCGGCAGGCCUAACACAUGCAAGUCGAACGGUAACAGGAAGAAGCUUGCUUCUUUGCUGACGAGUGGCGGACGGGUGAGUAAUGUCUGGGAAACUGCCUGAUGGAGGGGGAUAACUACUGGAAACGGUAGCUAAUACCGCAUAACGUCGCAAGACCAAAGAGGGGGACCUUCGGGCCUCUUGCCAUCGGAUGUGCCCAGAUGGGAUUAGCUAGUAGGUGGGGUAACGGCUCACCUAGGCGACGAUCCCUCGCUGGUGUGAGAGGAGGACCAGCGACACUAGAGCUGGGACGCGGUCCAGACUCCUACGGGAGGCAGCAGUGGGGAAUAUUGCACAGUGGGCGGAAGCAUGAUGCAGCCAUGCCGCGUGUAUGAAGAAGGCCUUCGGGUUGUAAAGUACUUUCAGCGGGGAGGAAGGGAGUAAAGUUAAGACCUUUGCUCAUUGACGUUACCCGCAGAAGAAGCACCGGCUAACUCCGUG
rnacentral:rRNA from 1 species